GGGGCUGUAGCUCAGUUGGGAGAGCGCUAGAAUCGCACUCUAGAGGUCCGGGGUUCGAUUCCCCGCAGCUCCA
rnacentral:tRNA from 1 species